AUUGAACGCUGGCGGCAGGCCUAACACAUGCAAGUCGAGCGGAUGAAGGGAGCUUGCUCCUGGAUUCAGCGGCGGACGGGUGAGUAAUGCCUAGGAAUCUGCCUGGUAGUGGGGGAUAACGUCCGGAAACGGGCGCUAAUACCGCAUACGUCCUGAGGGAGAAAGUGGGGGAUCUUCGGACCUCACGCUAUCAGAUGAGCCUAGGUCGGAUUAGCUAGUUGGUGGGGUAAAGGCCUACCAAGGCGACGAUCCGUAACUGGUCUGAGAGGAUGAUCAGUCACACUAGAACUGAGACACGGUCCAGACUCCUACGGGAGGCAGCAGUGGGGAAUAUUGGACAAUGGGCGAAAGCCUGAUCCAGCCAUGCCGCGUGUGUGAAGAAGGUCUUCGGAUUGUAAAGCACUUUAAGUUGGGAGGAAGGGCAGUAAGUUAAUACCUUGCUGUUUUGACGUUACCAACAGAAUAAGCACCGGCUAACCUCGUG
rnacentral:rRNA from 1 species